AAUGAACGCUGGCGGCAUGCCUAACACAUGCAAGUCGAACGAAGGCUUCGGCCUUAGUGGCGCACGGGUGCGUAACGCGUGGGAAUCUGCCCUUGGGUUCGGAAUAACAGCGAGAAAUUGCUGCUAAUACCGGAUGAAGACGAAAGUCCAAAGAUUUAUCGCCUGAGGAUGAGCCCGCGUUGGAUUAGGUAGUUGGUGGGGUAAAGGCCUACCAAGCCGACGAUCCAUAGCUGGUCUGAGAGGAUGAUCAGCCACACUGGGACUGAGACACGGCCCAGACUCCUACGGGAGGCAGCAGUGGGGAAUAUUGGACAAUGGGCGCAAGCCUGAUCCAGCAAUGCCGCGUGAGUGAUGAAGGCCUUAGGGUUGUAAAGCUCUUUUACCCGGGAUGAUAAUGACAGUACCGGGAGAAUAAGCCCCGGCUAACUCCGUGCCAGCCGCCGCCGUAA
rnacentral:rRNA from 1 species